rnacentral:tRNA from 1 species
GAGUGAUUAGUCCAAACAAGACAGUUGAUUUCGGCUCAACAAAUUAUGGUUAAACCCCAUAAUCACUCUA